CCUACGGGAGGCAGCAGUGAGGAAUAUUGGUCAAUGGACGAGAGUCUGAACCAGCCAAGUAGCGUGAAGGAUGACUGCCCUAUGGGUUGUAAACUUCUUUUAUAUGGGAAUAAAACGUUCCACGUGUGGGAUUUUGUAUGUACCAUAUGAAUAAGGAUCGGCUAACUCCGUGCCAGCAGCCGCGGUAAUACGGAGGAUCCGAGCGUUAUCCGGAUUUAUUGGGUUUAAAGUGAGCGUAGGUGGAUUGUUAAGUCAGUUGUGAAAGUUUGCGGCUCAACCGUAAAAUUGCAGUUGAAACUGGCAGUCUUGAGUACAGUAGAGGUGGGCGGAAUUCGUGGUGUAGCGGUGAAAUGCUUAGAUAUCACGAAGAACUCCGAUUGCGAAGGCAGUUCACUGGACUGCAACUGACACUGAGGCUCGAAAGUGUGGGUAUCAAACAGGAUUAGAUACCCCAGUAGUC
rnacentral:rRNA from 1 species